rnacentral:lncRNA from 1 species
UAAGAUUUCACAUGAACUCGAGUCGAUUGAAUCUGGUAUAUGAUGGACAAAUGGAUUUGAUGAGUUAUCCUUGACUAUGCCUUGUCGGACUCAUGAUAGAAGAAUCGGACUAUAUGGUAACUCCAUCUAGAAGUUCAAUAUUUCAUUCUACUAGAUUUCUACCAUAUGUUGCUAGACGUCACUGAAAGAAUAGUACCCUACAAGUCAAUCAUAUAAGGAUGCGAAGGAACUUUUUUUUAUUUUUUUCUACUCAUUUGUAUGACAUUAGUUAUUUUUAUUGAUGAGAUAUUGUGUUUUAUCAUUUACUGUAUCAUAUUUUUUAUGAUUAUGAUAAACUUCAAAGAUUAAGGCAAUGAUUUUAGGGCCAUGAUGAGAUCAUGCCAG